rnacentral:rRNA from 2 species
CGACUCUCGGCAACGGAUAUCUCGGCUCUCGCAUCGAUGAAGAACGUAGCGAAAUGCGAUACUUGGUGUGAAUUGCAGAAUCCCGUGAACCAUCGAGUCUUUGAACGCAAGUUGCGCCCGAGGCCACUAGGCCGAGGGCACGCCUGCCUGGGUGUCACG